rnacentral:rRNA from 1 species
GAGUUUGAUCUUGGCUCAGAUUGAACGCUGGCGGCAGGCCUAACACAUGCAAGUCGGGCGGUAGAGAGAAGCUUGCUUCUCUUGAGAGCGGCGGACGGGUGAGUAAUGCCUAGGAAUCUGCCUGGUAGUGGGGGAUAACGCUCGGAAACGGACGCUAAUACCGCAUACGUCCUACGGGAGAAAGCAGGGGACCUUCGGGCCUUGCGCUAUCAGAUGAGCCUAGGUCGGAUUAGCUAGUUGGUGAGGUAAUGGCUCACCAAGGCGACGAUCCGUAACUGGUCUGAGAGGAUGAUCAGUCACACUGGAACUGAGACACGGUCCAGACUCCUACGGAGGCAGCAGUGGGGAAUAUUGGACAAUGGGCGAAAGCCUGAUCCAGCCAUGCCGCGUGUGUGAAGAAGGUCUUUCGGAUUGUAAAGUCACUUUAAGUU